CAAUUGAUUAACCAUUAUUUAAACUGAAUAAAUACUGAAUAACUGAAUCCCUCACACACACCGAAAAAAAACCCCGCGCUUUUAUUUUGACACGCGCCCAUCCCCCCACAUCUCACGGUCGGAGUCAGUUUCACAGAGCAGCGCAGGAGGACGACAGACACAUAAAGAACAUUAACAGUUUAGGGCAAACGUUUCCCGCGCAAGUUUGAAUCUCUCUCAGUCAGUCAGGGGGAGAUUAACUGACUGACUGUCUACACGCCACCAAACAGUCAGUUAUACAGAAACCUUUUUAACUUUAGUUUGAAUCUCUCUCAGUCAGUCAGGGGGAGAUUAACUGACAGACUGUAUAACGUUACAGGCCACCAAACAGUCUUACCAAGAAACCUUUUACAGUUUAGCACAAAUGUUUCCCGUGGAAGUUUGAAUCUCUCUCAGUCAGGGGGGAGAUUGACUGACAGACGGUCUACUUGCCACCCAAACAGUAAUUUACCCUGAAACCUUUUACAGUUUAGCGCAAACGUUUCCUGCGCAAGUUUGAAUCUCUCAGUCAGGGGGGAGAUUGACUGACUGACUGACUGACUGUCUACUCGCCACCAAACAGUCAGUUACACAGAGGUAACAAGUAAGGACUAACGUUAACUGACUGUCUGUAUGUCUGUCUGUCUGCUCUCAACCAAACAGUCAUUCAAGACCUUUUAAAGUUUAGUGCAAACGUUUCCAGCGCAAGUUUGAAUCUCUCUCAGUCAGGGGGGAGAUUGACUGACAGACUGUCUACUCGCCACCAAACAGUAAUCCACACAGAAACCUUUUAAAGUUUAGCACAAAAGUUUCCCGCGCAAGUUUGGAUCUUUACCAUUGAGGGUGGCUGACUGUUCUCAACCAACCAUCAUUCACACGCAAAAACUUUAAAGAUAAGUAUGAACGUGCCCAGAGCAGUUUUCGAUCUUUACCAUUAAGGAGGCUGACUGACUAUCCUCUACCACCCGUCAUUAACACAAGAAAAACUAAAGAAAUGUUACUCCUUAUGGACCUAUUCAUUUACUCAUUAUGCUGUGAGUUCACCAGUUUUAUCAGGGAAAAAAUUUAUAUUUGUGUGUUUCUCACUGCUUGACAAGGAAAGAUGUGGCCCUGUUAAAAAUGUUUAAAUGUCGUUUGGUUUAAGGAACAGCACACUGAUUUUGUUUUUAAAUAUUCCUGUUUGGACAGUCUGUUAAAGUCAUAAAGGAAUACUUGAUAUAUUUCAUAAGUAAAGUGUAAAUGUAAUAUUAGUUUUUAAUGUUGUGAAUUUGGACUGAACAGCACACUUCUGUUUUAUA